CCAGACUCCUACGGGAGGCAGCAGUGGGGAAUAUUGCACAAUGGGCGCAAGCCUGAUGCAGCCAUGCCGCGUGUAUGAAGAAGGCCUUCGGGUUGUAAAGUACUUCCAGUCGGGAGGAAGGUGGUAAGGUUAAUAACCUUAUCAAUUGACGUUACCGACAGAAGAAGCACCGGCUAACUCCGUGCCAGCAGCCGCGGUAAUACGGAGGGUGCAAGCGUUAAUCGGAAUUACUGGGCGUAAAGCGCACGCAGGCGGUCUGUCAAGUCGGAUGUGAAAUCCCCGGGCUCAACCUGGGAACUGCAUUCGAAACUGGCAGGCUGGAGUCUUGUAGAGGGGGGUAGAAUUCCAGGUGUAGCGGUGAAAUGCGUAGAGAUCUGGAGGAAUACCGGUGGCGAAGGCGGCCCCCUGGACAAAGACUGACGCUCAGGUGCGAAAGCGUGGGGAGCAAACAGGAUUAGAUACCCCCGUACC
rnacentral:rRNA from 1 species